rnacentral:rRNA from 1 species
GUGCCAGCAGCCGCGGUAAUACGUAGGUGGCAAGCGUUAUCCGGAAUUAUUGGGCGUAAAGCGCGCGUAGGCGGUUUUUUAAGUCUGAUGUGAAAGCCCACGGCUCAACCGUGGAGGGUCAUUGGAAACUGGAAAACUUUGAGUGCAGAAGAGGAAAGUGGAAUUCCAUGUGUAGCGGUGAAAUGCGCAGAGAUAUGGAGGAACACCAGUGGCGAAGGCGACUUUCUGGUCUGUAACUGACGCUGAUGUGCGAAAGCGUGGGGAUCAAACAGGAU